GGCGAAAAAUAAAUCAUUUUCUGUCCUCUGUCGUAAGUCAAUUUGGCAAAAUGUCAUCAAGCUGAAUUUUCAACACUUUCACAGUAUUGUGGUUGCUGGAAAUCAAGCGGAAAAAGAAGAAUGCGAAAUUCCGUGCCGAUAGGAUUCUCAAAGGGACAUAUUUGCUUCUGAGUGCGUUGGCUUUUUUUUCUGAAAGUCCUGUCCUUAUAAUCUAGGCGACUCUAACAAGAAACCAUCAUUUCCCCUCAAAUUCAUCCAGAGAUUUCUCCUGAUAUUCCCGUUUGAAGAUUUGGCCGAAGAUUUGCAACAAACCGAACAUCUCAAUCACCA